UACAGAGGGUGCGAGCGUUAAUCGGAAUUACUGGGCGUAAAGGGCGCGUAGGCGGCUAAAUAAGUUAGGUGUGAAAUCCCUGGGCUUAACCUAGGAAUUGCACUUAAUACUGUAUGGCUAGAGUAGAGUAGAGGGAAGUGGAAUUUCCGGUGUAGCGGUGAAAUGCGUAGAUAUCGGAAAGAACAUCAGUGGCGAAGGCGGCUUUCUGGACUUAUACUGACGCUGAGGCGCGAAAGCAUGGGUAGCAAACAGG
rnacentral:rRNA from 1 species